UACGGGGGGGGCAAGCGUUGUUCGGAAUUACUGGGCGUAAAGGGCUCGUAGGUGGCCAACUAAGUCAGACGUGAAAUCCCCAGGCUUAACCUGGGAACUGCGUCUGAUACUGGAUGGCUUGAAUUCGGGAGAGGGAUGCAGAAUUCCAGGUGUAGCGGUGAAAUGCGUAGAUAUCUGGAGGAAUACCGGUGGCGAAGGCGGAUCUCUGGGCCAUUACUGACGCUGAGGAGCGAAAGCGUGGGGAGCGAACAGG
rnacentral:rRNA from 1 species